GAUGAACGCUGGCGGCGUGCCUAAUACAUGCAGGUCGAGCGAACAGACGAGGAGCUUGCUCCUCUGACGUUAGCGGCGGACGGGUGAGUAACACGUGGAUAACCUACCUAUAAGACUGGGAUAACUUCGGGAAACCGGAGCUAAUACCGGAUAACAUGUUGAACCGCAUGGUUCAACAGUGAAAGACGGUCUUGCUGUCGCUUAUAGAUGGAUCCGCGCCGCAUUAGCUAGUUGGUAAGGUAACGGCUUACCAAGGCAACGAUGCGUAGCCGACCUGAGAGGGUGAUCGGCCACACUGGAACUGAGACACGGUCCAGACUCCUACGGGAGGCAGCAGUAGGGAAUCUUCCGCAAUGGGCGAAAGCCUGACGGAGCAACGCCGCGUGAGUGAAGAAGGUCUUCGGAUCGUAAAACUCUGUUAUUAGGGAAGAACAAAUGUGUAAGUAACUAUGCACGUCUUGACGGUACCUAAUCAGAAAGCCACGGCUAACUACGUG
rnacentral:rRNA from 1 species